rnacentral:rRNA from 1 species
UACGUAGGAUGCAAGCGUUGUCCGGAAUUAUUGGGCGUAAAGGGCGCGCAGGCGGUCACUCAAGUCAGAUGUGAAAUAUCCGGGCUUAACCCGGAGGGGUCAUUUGAAACUGAGUAACUAGAGUACAGCAGAGGAUAGCGGAAUUCCCGGUGUAGUGGUGAAAUGCGUAGAUAUCGGGAGGAACACCAGUGGCGAAGGCGGCUAUCUGGGCUGAAACUGACGCUGAGGCGCGAAAGCAUGGGGAGCAAACAGG